rnacentral:rRNA from 1 species
AUUGAACGCUGGCGGCAGGCCUAACACAUGCAAGUCGAGCGGUAGAGAGGUGCUUGCAUCUCUUGAGAGCGGCGGACGGGUGAGUAAUGCCUAGGAAUCUGCCUAGUGGUGGGGGAUAACGUUCGGAAAUGGACGCUAAUACCGCAUACGUCCUACGGGAGAAAGCGGGGGGAUCUUCGGACCUCGCGCCAUUAGAUGAGCCUAGGUCGGAUUAGCUGGUUGGUGAGGUAAUGGCUCACCAAGGCGACGAUCCGUAACUGGUCUGAAAGGAUGAUCAGUCACACUGGAACUGAGACACGGUCCAGACUCCUACGGGAGGCAGCAGUGGGGAAUAUUGGACAAUGGGCGAAAGCCUGAUCCAGCCAUGCCGCGUGUGUGAAGAAGGUCUUCGGAUUGUAAAGCACUUUAAGUUGGGAGGAAGGGUAGUAACCUAAUACGUUGCUACUUUGACGUUACCGACUAGAAUAAGCACCGGCUAACUUCGUGCCAGCA